UUCCCCCUCUCACUGUUCUCUUUCUCUUUCCCUCUCCACUUCUCUCGAUCUGCUUCUCUUUCUCUCUCCUCCCCUCUUCACUCACUCUCGAUCUGUUUCUUCGAAGUAACCGCUGCAUCCUGCCGCCGCUGCAGAAUCAUAUUUUCAAGCUAUCUCUCCCGAAAAAGCAGCCCACAAAAUAGGAGACAUUUCAUUUUACCUCUUCUUUUUCCUCCAUUUUUUUUGUUUUCAGAAAAUAUUUACACCGAAAUGAAAAGUUGAAAUUCGUCUUCAUAUUCACAUUCAGAAAAUAACAAUUCAGUAAUCAGUUAAUUCACCCUCCGAAAAAAAUCUUCAUCAAUCACUGAACCAAUUCAGAAACCUACCCAAAAUCAGGCCCAGAACUCACUGAGUCAACUCGAUCACUCACAAGCGAGUUCUCCUUACUCAACCUCGCAUACAUCCUCGCCCUCAAAUCCUUCCCCGACUCGACUCGCUCCAGUGGCACCUCUUCCUCUAUCAUCACCUCCCACGGAUCAAACAAACCAAGCACAGAACAACGAGUGGGUGACCUAACCACCGCCCCACCACGAGUUGGUAUCGUCGGCAAACUCUUCGUUGAUGUCGUUAGAUCUGAAGUUGCUGCUCCACCAGUUCAUAUGACAGGAGUACCCCCUUCUGAUAUGAAGAAGAAGAGAGGUAGGCCCUAGGAAGUAUGGCCCUGGUGGUGCUGUGACGGCUGCAUUGUCGCCAAUGCCGAUUUCGGCUUCAAUUCCUCUGAGUAAAGACUUUUCAGGCUGGAAACAACAUAGAGCAAUGCCUUUUUAGACAAUAAAGAAGCCAUAUUAAGUGGAGUUUGAGAGUCUAGGAGUGAGUGCAGCAAGCCUAUGCAGCUCGGAGUGAGCUUUGCUGGUGGAUAUAUGGUGGUGUUUUCUAUGCUGUUAUUUCACAUUCUACUGACAAUGUCUUAUUUCUUUACUCAAUAAUGCCAAGGGAGCUACAGUGGGUGAUGUAAGUGUUAACAAUAAGUAGAUUCACUGAUAUUUCCUCACUGGAUGGUGGGAAAUAAUAUUUUUUUUGGCUUUAUUAUUCAUUAAUUUCUUUAACUUCUAAUAGGUAUGGGUAAUUCUAUUAUGAAGGAUGGUUUUGUAUUCAUCCUAUUGAGAACUCUUUAAAAAAAUACUCAAGUUACAUGAUUAGGAACUAGAUAUGAUACAUGAUAUUGUGGAUUAUACUUUGAUUAGUUCUUACUAGUGUUGUUGUUGUUUAAUAUAAAAGAUAACGUUUUCUUUA